GGUUUUGGACAGUGAUUUUAACCCUAACGCCAAAAAACUUAAACCUUUCCCUGGCCUUAAAAUCUAAUACCCGGGUAUUACAUUCAGGAAGCCCGUAAACCCCAAAUAUAUUUUUUUCAUUUUUCAUUUUUUUUUGGUCUAACUAACUCCAAAAGGUUGAAAAAGAGUUCCUAAAAAGGUUUUGGACAGUGAUUUUAACCCUAACGCCAAAAACCUUAAACCUUACCAUAGCCCCAUAACCUAAUUCCCGGGUAUUACUUUUAGGAAGCCUGAACACCCCAAAUAUAUUUUUUUUAAUUUUUCAUUUUUUUUUGGUCUAACUAAAUCCAAAAGGUUGUGAAAGAGUUCCUACAAAGGUUUUGGACAGUGAUUUUAAACCUAACGCCAAAAAACUUAAACCUUACCAUAGCCCCAAAACCUAAUACCCGGGUAUUACUUUCAGGAGCCCGAAAACCCCAAUAAUAUUUUUUUUCUUUUUUCAUAUUUUUUGGUCUAACUAACUCCAAAAGGUUGGAAAAGAGUUCCUACAAAGGUUUUGGACAGUGAUUUUAACCCUAACGCCAAAAAACUUAAACCUUUCCCUGGCCUUAAAAUCUAAUACCCGGGUAUUACAUUCAGGAAGCCCGUAAACCCCAAAUAUAUUUUUUUUCAUUUUUCAUUUUUUUUUGGUCUAACUAACUCCAAAAGGUUGAAAAAGAGUUCCUACAAAGGUUUUGGACAGUGAUUUUAACCCUAACGCCAAAAACCUUAAACCUUACCAUAGCCCCAUAACCUAAUUCCCGGGUAUUACUUUUAGGAAGCCUGAACACCCCAAAUAUAUUUUUUUUAAUUUUUCAUUUUUUUUUGGUCUAACUAAAUCCAAAAGGUUGUUAAAGAGUUCCUACAAAGGUUUUGGACAGUGAUUUUAACCCUAACGCCAAAACGUUAAACCUUACCAUAGCCCCAUAACCUAAU